rnacentral:rRNA from 1 species
UACGUAGGCAGCGAGCGUUGUUCGGAGUUACUGGGCGUAAAGGGUGUGUAGGCGGUUGUUUAAGUUUGGGGUGAAAUCUCCCGGCUCAACUGGGAGGGUGCGCCGAAUACUGAAUGACUUGGAGUGCGGGAGAGGAGAGUGGAAUUCCUGGUGUAGCGGUGAAAUGCGUAGAUAUCAGGAGGAACACCGGUGGUGUAGACGGCUCUCUGGACCGUAACUGACGCUGAGACACGAAAGCGUGGGGAUCAAACAGG